AGCUCAGUGAUUAGAGCUGGUUAGAGCGAUGGUCUUAUGAGCCAUAGGUCGCGGGUUCAAACCCCGC
rnacentral:tRNA from 1 species